UCCGCCUGAUCUCCCUACUCUCCCGACUCUCUUCUUCAUCACCCGAUGCCACCACCGAUGUCGCGCCACCCGUUGUCGUCGCCGGUGAAGUCCCAAUGUCGCAGCUACCUCGUGAGCGCCUUCCUCUUCCCUGACUUGUCGCCGACGCCAAACGCUGGCUAGCGACGUGCCCUAAUGUCGACACAGAUUCUUCAUCUUUAACCUCGAGUGGUGCCCGAGCCCUAACCUCAUGGUCUCCUCCAGAUCCACCACUACUGAUAGCCGAGCAACGUCGCCGCCCUCUUCCUCACGCACCUCUGCCCUUUCGAUUGCCGAUCCACCAUUGUCGGCACAAAUCCUGCACCUUCUACGAGUCGUCUGUUGAUCUCUCCAUCCACGAGCAGGGAGUUGUCGAUUCAUAGUCACACCCUUCUUCUCAAUUGCAUUGCCUGUGUCGACCCAUCAUCACCACUACCCACCUUGUCAAUACUAUGACCCUCGGUCAGGAGAGAGAGCGCCAUCACUCAUCUUCAACCUAAUCUAGCCGUUGGUCGCCAGCUCUCUCCUCUGCCCUGACUCGACACCACAAUAGCCAUCAGCGGGCCUUCCUCUUUCCGAUUCAUCACUGCUAUCUUCUCUCGCUACUGUGCCCUAGAGCCCCAUCCGUGCUCUGUCCAGAUUCAGAAGGGAGGAUGAUCGAUAGAGACACCAUCUCCUCAUCAAAUCCGAAGAGGAGAGCUAAAAUUUCACCACAACAUCAAUUGGAUUUCGUCCUACAGGAAUUUCAAAUUCUGAUUUGUAGAUUUGUUUAGAGAUCCGCGGCUGCACUAUAGCUCCGACCAUGAAUCCCCAGCAGCAAGCUUCUUUGGCUGGGUCAACAUCGAAGUCUUUAGAUUUGGGACUCUGAUUAGAGACGAGCGUCUCGACAUGGGAGUUAGUUGAUACGAGCUACGAUAAAGAUAAAGGCAAGGAAUGGAUGUACUAGGGGAGCAGCAGGAGGGCUUGAAGGAUGUG